GAGAGAGAGAGAGAGAGAGUAUUUAUUCGCAGGUUGUUGCUCAGAAGAGAAUGAAAGAGAGGGACAUAGAUUCGGUGCAGGUGGAGGUUGUUAAAGGGAUCCUCAUCCAAUGAUCUGGGGUUUGUCUGUGUCUUAAUUUUGGUUUUGGUGUGUCCUUAUGUUGGUUAAGAAUUUAAUGUUGAGAUUGUUUAAUGCAUGAUUACGAUGAUGUUAAUUCUGUGU
rnacentral:misc_RNA from 1 species